UACAGAGGGUGCAAGCGUUAAUCGGAAUUACUGGGCGUAAAGCGUGCGUAGACGGUUAUGUAAGUCGGGUGUGAAAGCCCCGGGCUCAACCUGGGAAUGCCAUUCGAGACUGCAUAGCUAGGGUGCGGAAGAGGGAAGCGGAAUUCCUGGUGUAGCGGUGAAAUGCGCAGAUAUCAGGAGGAACACCGGUGGCGAAGGCGGAUCUCUGGGCCAUUACUGACGCUGAGGAGCGAAAGCGUGGGGAGCGAACAGG
rnacentral:rRNA from 1 species